GAAGAUCAACUUGAAUGCUCCUUUCUCCCCCAGGAAUAAAAAUCACUGUGAGAAAUACAAAUGUGAAAUAAAGUGGGAAAGUGGGAAAACCCUCGGCUUACGUAUUUUACUGAAAGCCUCAUCUAUUUGGAAAAUAAAAUCCAGAAGCUUCUCCUGACAUGUACUAGAUACAAGUGCACCACUUGAAGAUCUAGAGGAAAGGGCCCAUGUGGAAAAGGUUUAUCUCAACACCAAUUGUAUCUUCUGUCUAGGCUUGGACCUGAAGAUUUCAGAUUUUUUUAAAAGCAAAGUGGGCUGCAAUCACACCUGUUUGGAGAAGUAAGAAGAGAGAAAAAAGUAAAGGGAAGGGGCAUGCUGAGAAGAAAGAAAUGAAUAGAGAGAAGAAAGAAAGACUAGCAAUUACUAAACUCUGUUCAUUUCUGCUCACAGCCUAAAAAAAAUGUUUUGUUCAAUAAAAAAGCUCCUCAUA